rnacentral:lncRNA from 1 species
UUUACAGUGAUGACACAAUUCAGGCUGUUGACAUUUGAAAAAAAGUAUUUUUGAUCAUCCACGGAUGCGUAACAGAACAGCCGUUGUAGAUUUCAUUUAAUAGUUCAAUUAUAUAAUAUUUGUAGGAUUACAAAAGCCAAAUUGGAAAUGUACGUUACUGUUAUUGAUUGUAAGUUUUUGUUUUCAAACAUUUGAGAAUUCACAUAUUUUUUCUAACUUUAAAAUACUGCUUCAGUGAUUGUGUUCUUAUUAACUAAUAGAAUAUGCAUUUCUAUUACAGAAAACAUCAGUUAGUGGUAGUUUAUAACUGAUAACAUAAUCAUUAGAUUUGAAUUGAAAUUGUUUGUUUGAAAUUUAUCAUUUUUAAAUCUUUUUUGUCAUUCUAACUGUUGCAGAAUUAUUGGAGAAAAUGCAUUUCAUAUUGAAAACUUUUGUCAAAUUUAAUUCAGUGUAGGAAUCUGUUUCAAAAAUUGAAUUAGAGUUGUAAUUGUGUUACAUGAUCUUUUUAAGUACAUGUAUUUUAUAUCUCAAACCAUUAAUUUUAUAAUUCAUGCAAUUUUGUACUAAAAUGAAAAUCAUGUUUUGGAUUCAAACUUUAGGGUGUUUGAAUGAAGAACGAAUUUCAAAUAUACUCACUUUUUAAUUCUCUAAGCCUUACAAAAAUGUAAUUAAAGAAUUGAUUCAUAUUCAAAAUGAUUUGUAUUGAGCAGGAAUUGAAAAUUUCUCAAUUUAAAUUUUGUGAAAUGUAAAGCCGAAUAUAGGUAAGAUGCUUAGUCUUCAAAUUAGGUUGGUUAAAUUGCUUGUAGCAGGAUUUAUUAAUUUCUCAAUUUUGCAUUGAUCAAAUAUCAGUAACUUUUUGAUUUUUAUUUAAGAAUUGAAUGCUUCUUUUUGUAACUUCAUUGGGGUGUAAUAGCGUUGACCGAAGUACAUUUUGUAUGAAGCGCGUAACGCUUCAUUCUAAAAAUGUGUGCACGGUCAACGCUUUUACAACCCUAUAAAGUUACAAAAAGAAGCAUUCAAUUCUUAUAAUUACAUUUUUUAGCUAGGAUCAUGAAAACACGAAUUUUAUCAAUUUUUGAUUUAAUUCACCUGUGCACUUUAUUGUGGGACCUCGUGUUAACAUGAAUGAUAAGUUUUAUUGAGUAAUGCAAGUGCUUAAGGAAUAACACAUGAUGUGCAGUUUAAGUAACCUGAAUAAUUCAGUUGUUAUAUUCCGCUGAUCUACGAUCUACUGUCUUCCUCGAUAAAGACCGUCAACCUUAAAAUUCACACCGCUUUGCAAUAUGGGAAUUUUUUACUAAGUUGGCAGCUAAAGAAGGAGGAUUUCCGGAUGUUAAUUAAUGUUAAAUGAUGUAAACUGAUGUUAAUUGAUGUUAAUUAAUUAUUAUUGGAUUUGUGUUAAUUGAACACACGUGUUUGGUUUGACAAUUACAAGACAGUUGCGCAGACUCAUUAUCCUGAUCGCUGCCGAUUGGCUCUCUCACAGAGACCAGGCGACGCGGCCAAUGAUUAUAAGGAGUUCAAGCCCUCGUGUGGGAGAAAAUCUGAAACGGAAAGGGCUUGAAUUAUUCGAGUUACAGUUUAAGUCAAUCAGAAUAACGUAUUAUAAUGAAACAUACAUCUAAUGUAAUUAUUUUGAUAAAUUUUAAAAAAAAGGUAGACAUUAAGUAUUUGCAAAGAAACAUGGACUCAAAAUUAUAUAAAGGAAAUGUUAGUUUCAUUAAUGGUAUGGUAUUAAAAUUUUUAAAAAGAUGCAUUUGAGAAAUUUGUAAAUUCAUUGCCAUACAUUUUUUUCCGGCACUCAACUCAAACUCAAUGUUGCUUGAUGCCAAGAGUUUUACGUAAGUUACUGUAAAUGUUAGUGUUGUGGGUUGGACAUAUUUCAGGUGCACAUCAAUAUUGAAUAAGUACACCUGUAUUAUAGUUCAAACAUAUCCAUUGCUUUAAGAUUGAUUAUAAAGAUCAUUGAAGAAAAUCUUAGAAUAAUUAAAGUUUUUUGAAAAAUUACUUCAAACACAUAUAAAGUGAUGAUUUAAGCUGAGAGUCAAUUUGAAACAUCUGUUACCAUUCAAACAACAUAUGAGCAUCUUUUGAUGGUACAGGUGUUUGUUUGUAUUGUAACAGAACUUGUAAUAUCUCUCACAUUUGUUUUGAAAAAAUUACAAAUUAAAUUAUAUUUAUUAUCCUAAAAAGUUACAGUGUUUUUUUUCAAUUACUGAAUCCUUGAACCUUUUCCAGUCAUUUUAAACAGACAGGUUAUGGUAAAUUUUUACUAGAUUAAAAACAGGAUUGUAGCAUCUUUUGUUAAGGGUUUAGGGAAAGGUUUAAGUAAGUUAAAGUCCAUAUAAGUAUAGACAAACUCUGUAUGAUAGACUCGGGUAAACAAAUUUGUACACAAACACAAAAACAAGAAGACUUUUUUGACAUGAAUUUUCAUGUCAACUUGUAAAUUUUAAAUGACUGUAUCAGAAGUAAAACCAAUAAAAAAUAAAAGAACAGUAAACAUUUGAAUGAAUAAAAACUAAAAUUAUAUAACCAUAUAUGUGGACUCAUUAUUAUUCAUUGAAUACCAAUUUUUGUGGAUUUCAUGGUAAAUCAUGAACCAAGAAUUGAAAUCAACCAUGAAAGUAUUAUAUUGAUACUUAUAAUACUUCCAUGAUUCCACGAAGUACAAAUUUUCUUCAGGCAUGUAUGCCGACUUUGGAAAAAGCAUGAAAUCAAAUAUCCACGAACGUAAAAUAUUUUCUCAAUCCACGAAAAUUGAUAUCCAUAAAAAUAAGUGAAUCCGAAGUUAAAACAUAAACUAUUAUAAGAAGGACACUUUUUAAAUAUAGUUUUUAAAUUAUUUGAGGUCAUGCUCGUUAAAUAACUUAAAUUGGACCAUGUUUGCUGAUUAAACAAAUUGCGAUUUAAAUCAGUUAGCUUAAUUUUAUGUAAAGAAGUGGACGAAAUAUGCUUGUAUGUAAAAUAUCAAUAUUUUGUUUGGAUUAUAUUUCAUUGAAAUCUCAUUUUUGAAAAAAGCUUACCCUGCUUUUUUAGGUCAACAGGGUAAUGUCUGAUAUUAGCAUUUAACCUCAUAAGUCUUCUAGGUCUUUUUUAUAGUCCUUAUGCCGAUCAAAAGGUCAAUAAUUUCGUUAGCAGUCCCAAGAUCAAGAAAAAUAAGAAUCUACACAUAUUUCUUUUUAAAAUAUGUUGUACAAUCUGAGUGUCUUUAUAUUAGCUUUCAUUAUUAGUUUUCAAUUGAUUAUUCAAAAUUGACAAAAUCCUAUGCAUUUUUCACAUAAACGAGAAGACCUUUUUCAUGAUGACACAACAGCAUAAGUUUUGAUGUCAUUGAUUAAAAAAAACCGAAUGUUUUUGAAACAAAUAAAUUUUUAAUUUAGAACUAAGAGGAUUUUUAUAGCACAUUGAACUUUCCAAGUAUUUCCCCCAGAACAUAUAACUCAGUCUUAUUGCAGAUAUAAUUACUUGUUUGCUAAAAUAUAGCAAAUGCCCAUUGUUUAUAUUUUAUGGGAUUUGAAAUGUGCAUUGUCUUAAAUGCUCUAAUGAGCAAGAGCACAUUUAAGUUGUUAUCACCUUUUUAAACAAUUUCAUGGAUUUUUUAUGCUGAAAAUACUUCAAAAUUUAUGUUCAUGUGAAAGUGUUGAUUUAUCACAUUUUCAUCUGCAACAAAACCAUGAAACAUCAUCAGAGACCCAUAAUACCAAUGUUAUUGUGUUAUAAAUCUCUGUUUAAUAUAAAAUGUGCUUUAUUUUGCUUUAAUCUGGUGUCUUAUUUAGAAUGGGCAACACAGAAAAUUUUAAAACAUAUUUGAGUUGAAAAAUAUCAAUUGUAAAUUAACUCGUUUUUGUGAAGGUUUUAUUUCCACUUACUUUAAUGAGUAGAAAAAAAAAUGUAUACAGUCUUGAAGACCCAUUGGUGGCGGGCUGUUGUCUGCUCUAUAGUGGGGUUGUUGUCACUUUGACACAUUCCCCAUUUCCAUUCUCAGUUUUAUUAAAUAUAUAAAACUUAGAUCUCGCCUUAUAUCGCUCUAUUAUUUAAAGAAAGUUAGAACAUUAGGAAAAUAAAUUUGUGCAAGGUGACAUAUGAAGAGUAUCUCUUCCUAUUUAGAGGCACUCAUAGACUUGCUGCUGGUAUGGGUCACUCUUUUUAGAUGUUAUAAUAUAUAUUAGUGGGAUGGGAUUUCACUAAGGUAAUAUAACAAUGGGUUGAAAUUUAUAUGUCAAUGAAUCAUUGUGUUCAUCUUCUGUUAAGAAACCUGUAAAACUGUGUCCUGACCUUUUUUGUCCAAUAAUAUGAGUUAUACUGUAUGUGGUUCACAUCUAAAUAAGAUGUCAUGAUAACUGGCAAAUAUAUAAAGGGGUUAUUUUAAAUUUCCUAUGAAAUAUAUGAAUGGGAGUGUUUUGAUAUCUCCAGCUGGACAUCUGUACUCACAUUUGGCUGUUGAGACACCCAGUGGCAGUGGAAAUAUAUCAAUCAUGUUUGUAAAAGUUUUUCUUUACUUUUGAAGGGCUAUUGCAUAUUUAUGCUGUAGAAUAUUCAUUGGUAAUCAGAAGCAUUAAAAAGUAUGCAGUAGGAUUUUGUUCUUUCAUAGAUUUUCAAAACAAGUAUUUCAACAUUUUUUCUCUUCAUCUUUUGGAAUAAAUAACUCAAAUAUCUUUCAGUUAUUAUAAUUUUCCUCAAAACCUCUAACUCCAAUAUAUCCUAUGAUAGUAUGGUUAAGCAAAAUAAGGGUAAUGAUAUAUAAUUCAAUUGUUAGAAAAGUUAUGUUUUACCAAGUUCUGUAGGUCUAAGAAAGUCAUAAAACACUAUGUCCAUUAGCGGAUCCAGGGGGGCCCUGAGGGAUCCGGGCCCCCCUUUCAUGGGAAAAAUUUGGUUGAUUAUAUAGGGAUUCAAUGAAACAUGACUGGAGCGGGCCCCCCCUUAGGUCAGUCAGCAGGCCCCCCCUUAGGAAAAGUUCUGGAUCCGCCACUGAUGUCUACAAGAAUUAAGAUGACAAAUACAAACAAUAGCCCCAAAAAAAUAACAGAGUGACAAACACUUUGAUUGAACAACAUUUGUAUAACCUCACAAAAAACCCAGUUACAAACCUUUUGUUAGCCGAUAGGGUCGACAGGGUGGUUUAUGGGGCUUCAAUGACUUUCUCUUUUCUAGAAAAAAAACCCAAAAAGUACUAUUGAAAAUCAUUAAAGUGGAGACUGAGAUUGAAGUGUGACUAUCAAAGUACUAAAUUACCCUCACCCAUUGGCGGAUCUAGGAGGAGGGUUCCGGGUGUUGGAACACCCCGUUUUUUUGGACGAUCAAUGCAUUUGAAUGGGGACAUAUAGUUGGAACGCCCCCUUUGUCCUGGGUUGGGAACCCCCCCCCCCCCCCCCCCUUUUUAAAAUGGCUGGAUCCGCCCCUGCUCACCAGCCAACCUUUGCAUUCAAGCUACAGGUUCUGAUUGCGACAUGGAGAAUCUAUCGUAGUGAAUAUUUAGGUUAGACCAUAAGAAUUUAAUUGUUGGUCAAAUGUGAAAUUUUUUUUUUUUUUAUAAAAUAAAUGUUUUAUGAAGAAUUGUAUUGAUAAUGCAUUUGCACUAUAAAACUUGGUAUAGAUACUGUUACUUUGGUGAUUUUUUGUUGCCCUUUUGUCAGUUAUCAAUCAACUCUGUUAUACAAAUAGCAUUAUAUAAGUUGAUAGUGUUAUGAUAAGAUAUACAGUAAUAGAACCCAAAAUUUUCUCUUCUUAUUACAUAUUGAAUAUUCCAAUCUUUUUCCCAGUUGGAGAAUAUACAGCAUUAUAAUCAAAUAUUGACUUGGAUUUGAUUACAUGAUAAGGUAUAGAAUUCCAGUAAUAUGGCUAAUUUUCUCUAUUGAGCUAUGUUGUAACAGUUUAAUUUGUAGUUGAAAUUUCUAUAUUGACAAAGUCAAUAUUCUUUGAAGAGCAAGACAAAGUUAUUUUUAAAAUAAAAUGAACCCGCCUCCUACUUCUAAUGACAAAGAUACCUUGGAAAAAGUAAAGACACGCGAUUAAUCCUGAGAAAGUAACAAUUAUAGCUGGUAAACAUUGCCUUUUGAAACUUGUUAUAUCUAAAUUUACUGAUUUUCUAGUCCAAUAUUUACACACAAGAUAUAGUAAACAAUCCGUGCUAAUGACAGUAGUAGAAGUAGACCGCCAGUAUAAUGAUGUAAAUUAAACUAAUUAUCUGUCCUUUGAUUGACCUUGUAUGCAAAUAAUUCUGUCACCCCAUGGACAAACACAGAUGUGACCAUGGAAUACUUUUAUUUAUGAUAGAAGCUGAGAUAGAAGUAAAAAGAAAUGAGCAAUUAUUUACCAAGAUUGUUGUUAAAACGUCAGUUAUUGAAUUGGUUUGUGUUUUACAGAGUCAUUUAUAGUCAAUAUUGAGCUUGUUCAUAUGGAUUGCUAAACUUCAUGCCAUUUUUUCAAGUUUCAAUUUGAAUUGAACUCACACUGUGUCUGUACCAAGUCAGACUCUCUCUUUGAAUAUUUUUACAUUUGUCAUUUCAGGGCAUUUUAUAGAUAAAUAUGUGGUAUGGGCUUUGCCCAUUGUUAAAGCUGUAGUGUGACCUAUAGAUGUUGAUUUUUGUGUCAUUUAGUCUCUUGUCAAGAGUUGUCUCAUUGGCAAUCAUACCACAUCUUAUAUAUCUACAUCAUUUAUUGGAAGCUGUCAAUUUUGCUUGUAUACAUUUAUUUGAUUUAUAACGGACAGGUUUUUGGAGGAGUUGGUGGGGUCUGUUGAACUCCCAAACCUACAAUCUUUGUGUAUGUAUUUUUAGAUAUGUCAGAUUUUUGAAUUAUAAGUAAGAGAUCUUGCCUACUGUUGAUUUAUUAUUUUUUGAGUGGUACAACAUACCUUUUUUUAGCUCACCUGGCCCGAAGGGCCAAGUGAGCUUUUCCCAUCACUUUGCGUCCGGCGUCCGGCGUCCGGCGUCCGGCGUCGUCCGUCGUCGUCCGUCGUCCGUCGUCGUUGUUAACUUUUACAAAAAUCUUAUCCUCUGAAACUGCUGGGCCAAAUUAAACCAAACUUGUCCACAAUAAUCAUUGGGGUAUCUAGUUUAAAAAAUAUGUCCGGUGACCCGGCCAACCAACCAAGAUGGCCGCCAUGGCUAAAAAUAGAACAUAGGGGUAAAAUGCAGUUUUUGGCUUAUAACUCAAAAACCAAACCAUUUAGAGCAAAUCUGACAGGGGUAAAAUUGUUUAUCAGGUCAAGAUCUAUCUGCCCUGCAAUUUUCAGAUGAAUCGGACAACCCGUUGUUGGGUUGCUGCCCCUGAAUUGGUAAUUUUAAGGAAAUUUUGCUAUUUUUGGUUAUUAUUUUGAAUAUUAUAGAUAGAGAUAAACUGUAAACAGCAAUAAUGUUCAGCAAAGUAAGAUUUACAAAUAAGUCAACAUGACCGAAAUGGUCAGUUGACCCCUUUAGGAGUUAUUGCCCUUUAUAGUCAAUUUUUAACCAUUUUUCGUAAAUCUUAGUAAUCUUUUACAAAAAUCUUCUCCUCUGAAACUACUGGGCCAAAUUAAAGCAAACUUGGCCACAAUCACAAUUGGGGUAUCUUGUUUAAAAAAUGUGUGGCGUGAUCCGGCCAACCAACCAAGAUGGCCGCCACAGCUAAAAAUAGAACAUAGGGGUAAAAUUCAGUUUUUGGCUUAUAACUCAAAAACCAAAGCAUUUAGAGCAAAUCUGACAGGAAGUAAAAUUGAUUAUCAGGUCAAGAUCUAUCUGCCUUUAAAUUUUCAGAUGAAUAGGACAACCUGUUGUUGGGUUGCUGCCCCUGAAUUGGUAAUUUUAAGGAAAUUUUGCUGUUUUUGGUUAUUAUCUUGAAUAUUAUUAUAGAUAGAUUUACUGUAAACAGCAAUAAUGUUCAGCAAAGUAAGAUUUACAAAUAAGUCAACAUUACUGAAAUGGUCAGUUGACCCCUUUAGGAGUUAUUGCUCUUUAUAGUCAAUUUUGAACCAUUUUUCGUAAAUCUUAGUUAUCUUUUACAAAAAUCUUCUCCUCUGAAACUACUGGGCCAAGUUCAUUAUAAAUAGAGAUAAUUGUAAGCAGCAAGAAUGUUCAGUAAAGUAAUAUUUACAAACAUAUCACCAUCACCAAAACACAAUUUUGUCAUGAAUCCAUCUGCAUCCUUUGUUUAAUAUUCACAUAGACCAAGGUGAGCGACACAGGCUCUUUAGAGCCUCUAGUUUUGUAUUGCAUGUGUAAAAGGAACCUGGAAUUCUAAUUUCAAUGAAGAAUAAUUGUUUAUAGCCUAGGUUUGAAUACAAACUUUUGCAAAACCGCAAAAUCAUAUAUUUUGUAUGUAUCUUAAUGUAUGUUUGAGUGGUUGAGACAAAAGUGGAAAGCGCCAUACAUGUUUGCAAACACAAAUGCAUAUACCAAAUUGGCCAUGACAGAAUUUAGAAAACUACAAUACUAUUCCAUGUAACUAAUUGUCAAAAGAAAUAUAAUUGUAUUGGUAGCCUAGUUAUUUUAUAAUUUGAUAAUUAUUUUGUGUUUGAUACUAAAUGUGAUCUUAAGUGAUCCUGUGAAUGCAAGCUAAUACAUAAUUAAGCUGAUGAAGUUUGUAUCAAAAAAAUAAAAUGUCUUCAUUCUUUAAUUAUCAGAAUGUUUAUUAAGAUCUUAAGAUAUAGAAUUACAAAAAGCAUUAAAAAAAGACAUUUUUCACACCAACAAGACCAAGACUUGUGAUAGUUGUUCAGUUGUAUGAAUGACAUUGUCUACAUUUCAUUGACGCCAAUUGUCAUGAAAAAUGUGAUGUUGGUGCAUUGUAAUUGACGUCAUUGUCUUGUAUAUUUUUAGUAUCACAUCCUGUCUAUGAUCUUAAAAAUCAUUAGGCAGCAGGAUCAAAAGGAAAAUGUACAAAUUGCUAAUAAUUUAGGUUAACGAAUGCUUAGGAUUAUUGGAAUUAGCUAUUCAUUCACAGAUUUUAACAUUCAGUGAACAUAUAAAAUAGGUUUUAAUUAAUCCUGAUUAUAUGCACUUUUAUAGACAUCUUACUACAAAAGUUGAGGGAAGUCAACUUUUCCAUUUAUGGCAAAAUUAUUUGCUUAUUUAUGACUUUAUCAUGUUUGAAGAAAGUUAAAUUAAGUCCAUUUUAUAUUCUCAGCUUCCAGAAAAGUUUCUGGUUAAACCUUUGACUCAGGAGAAAAUGUAGUUCAUAUAAAUUAUUGAUUUUAACAGAUGAAGUGUGUAAAAAAACAAUAAAUUCUUCAGAAAUUACAUUUAGACUCCAUCUCUCAAAUGAAGGUGCAUAUCAACCUUUUAAUUCUACUGAAACUUAAUGGAAUUUAAUUGAAUUUAACAUCCUUGACAUCAGUUAAAGCAUGUUUAUUUCAGAAUGUGUUUAUUUAUGGGUGAAUUUCAUCACACUUUCUAACGUUUGUAAAUAUCUGUAGGGUAGAUAGUUUGGGUUAGUAACAUCAUAAGAGGUAUGUAACCCCACCGUAUGACAAUGUAAGGAAGAGUUCAAUAUUUAGGUUUCAUUUAAAAGAUAAUUUUGUGUGAAUCACUUAAAUUUGAUAUACAAUAUGCGAAUAUAAAUUCAAUUUGUUUUUAAAUCAUUUUAUUGUAUAAAGUUUCUAAUAACAUAAAAUGAAAUAACUACAUUACCUUAAAGGCACCCAGUAUAAUACAAUUAUAUUUGUGUUUAUAGGAAAGAUAUAAAAUAGAUUUUCUAAAAUGAUCAUAACUUUUAUCUAGUAUUCAUUAUAUUAUUGGUAUGCUGAUGCCCAUAUUUUAAAUAUUGUUUAAAUUACGACCAUUCUCAGUUUUGUAUCACGAUUUUCAUCAAAUGUAUAUAUAAAAAUAAGGAGAUGUGGUAUAAUUGCCAAUGAAAUAACUAUUCACUAAAGUUUAAUGAAGACGAUGCAAGCAAUUAUAGGCAACUAUACAGCCUUCAACAUUGAGAAAUACCCAUACCUUGUGGUCAGCUAUUAAAGGCCACUGCAUCAAUAAUAUGAAACAAUUCAAUUGAGAAAACUAGAGGAUAUCUUUUUUUGUGAGGAAAAAUUUAGUUGAUUAUAUAUAGGGAAUCACUGAGGCAUGGCUCCCCUUAGGUCAGUCAGCGCCCAAGCAUUUUUACAAGCAACCACCAUUUUAGGACAUGAACAUGUAUCUUGAAAUAUUGAAUCUACAAUCAUGUAUGUAAUUUUUCUAUCAUUCAUCAAGUCUAAAAAAGUCAAAAUCAACAUUUUAUAAUUCCCAUUCUUAGCCUGCAGUCUGUAAUUAAUUUCAGAAAUAUUAAUUCCCAUAGUUUUGUUGCUGCUAGUAAUUUUGUAGUCUGAACAUUUGUUAUCUAUAUUAAAAAAUUCAUCUGGGUACUGAAAAACUGUAAUCAGAGAUUUUUAUAAUUGUUUUUAUUUUAAAGAUAAACCAACAUUUAAUUAUAUUGAUGAAAUAUUAUACUUUCUUUUACAAUUGACAUGUUUUAUUAUUGUUAAGGGAAAACACAUCUCUAUAGUAAAAUAAAUCUUUAAAAGUACAUUUGACCCAGCUAACAAAAGUACAAAUGUUCUAUAAAUGGAACAAAGUUUCUGAAAUCUUGCACACUGAAAUGUACAUCUUCUGAUAAAAAUAGAAACACUAUGGUGUCAUAAGCAUGUGCAAAGCAUGUUAAUAUCACUAUGUGAAAAGCAUGUUAAUGUCACUAUGUGAAAAGCAUGUCCAAUGAUGAUGUUGAUGUCACUGAAUUGUCCAUCCAAUGAAUUUUCUUCUUUUGUUUUGAUUGACAGGUGCCAUAGGAUAACCAGACUGAAAUAAAGCAGAUUGAAGUUAACAUUUCAGAACACCAGAAUACAGCCAAGGAACCAUCAACAAAUAGAAGAUUUGUAAGUAAAACUGUUUUGAUAUUGAAAGUUUUUUGUACAGGAAAUUCAUGAGGUAUAAAAUGAAAGAAAUAUACAAUAUUAGGUCAAUGUCAGAAAAAUAUAAACUUUUUUGAAUGAGUCUGAGAAACUUGGAAAGGGCUAGGUUUUACCAAUUAAGCCCUUCUCCAGUAAUGUGUGCCGAAUACAAAAAAGUUAAUAUUUUUAUGACAUUGACCCAAUACUGUUUUUAUGCUGCAACUGAAAUUAAG